ACGAACCAUGCAAACGUUAUUCGGAUUCACUGGGCUUAAAGCGUGCGUAGGCGGCGAUGUUAGUCAGGUGUGAAAGCCCUCAGCCCAACUGAGGAAUUGCGCUUGAUACUGCAUUGCUAGAGAAUGAUAGAGGUGGGUGGAACUGAUGGUGGAGCGGUGAAAUGCGUUGAUAUCAUCAGGAACACCAGUGGCGAAGGCGACCCACUGGGUCAUUUCUGACGCUGAGGUACGAAAGCUAGGGUAGCGAACGGGAUUAGAUACCCCGGUAGUCCUAGCCGUAAACGAUGAGCACUAGGUCGAGGGCCUCCACAGGCUCUUGGCCGUAGCGAAAGUGUUAAGUGCUCCGCCUGGGGAGUAUGGUCGCAAGGCUG
rnacentral:rRNA from 1 species